rnacentral:lncRNA from 1 species
AUGUCCCCGGAAACUGACCUGUGGACUGCUUCAUGUGGGCUCAUUUGCCCUCUGCUUCUGGCUGGUUUGGCAAUGGAGACAGAGAGAGAUGAGAAGACGAAUAUAAUGAGUGAUAAAGCAUUGAAGAGGAAGAACUUGAGACAAGAUUCUACUGCUCACUCCAGGGAGUCUCCUACUGCCUAGGAAUGACUGAUCCUGGUCGAGGACUUCUGUGUCUGCAGGACUUCCUGGAGCCUGGAAGUAGGGCUUAGCUGGGAGGCUGAGAACACGUGAAAAGGUCAUUCAAACCCCGUGUGACUUUCUCUAAAUAGUUAAAGCUGCCAGCCUGAGUCAUAAUUCCUCUGUCCUCCCCCAGGGUCUCCAGUAUGGGGCUGAAAGCGGGAGAACCCACCCCUAAAGAGAAGGAUGCAGCCUUGUACAUGCAGCAGCUUUGGGCUCCGGUCAUCAAGCUGUGUCCAAGGUCGAUCCACAAGUUCUAGCUAUGAGGACAGCCCUCCAC